GACCGUGCAGCUCAGACCAGGGCAGGGCAGAAGGAAAAGCAGCAGGCCACCCAGGAGGGGGGUCAGGGUGGGAGAGGCGCAGGAGUGGCUCCUGGGGUAAGCCACAAGCCCGGUCUUUGGCUCUCCCAGUGAGGAAUUUCCUCCCCUGCACCGCUGCCCAGCCCCUCUCCCCACCCCCCAACUCCCACCCGCCGAAACCAACACACAGUCCUGGAGCUAGGGGCACCUCCUGGGAUCCCUGAAAUGAGGGGCUCUGCCACCCGACCCAGUGCUGCCGGGCCUUGGAGGAGGGGGUCGAGGGCAAGCCCCACUCACGGACAGGCAGGAACGGCUCGGCAGGGCCCUGCCCAAGACAAGGGAGUAGGGAGGGAGAAGACCUCAGUCCCAGACAGUGGCCCCCACUGAGGUCUGGAAGGAGGGGAGCGCCUGGGAAUCCUACUUCCUUUUGGGGUCUGGUGGGGCCCCAGUUCCCUGGCCUCGGCCUCGGGCGACUUCCCAAGAGACCAGGAUAUUGUGCUUUGGCAUCCACCCUGGGGCCAGGUCAGGACGCGGGGGCGGGAGAGAGGAGACUAAGGUGCUUGUGCUUUAGCUGGAGAUGUUGACUCCGUCACACACGCGGGUCGGGCCGCUAGGGGCCGAAGGGCCAGGGCCGGGCAGCCCAGCGGAGCGCCAGGACCCCAGCCCGACCCGACACCCCAGCCCCGCAACAAGCAGGUGCCAGAAGGCACCCAGCCCUGCAGGCUGGCAGGGCUGCUGGUCGGAGGGAGGCCUCUCCGUCAGGUUCCAAGGGUCCAGAGCGGGCGGGCCCCCACCCCGCAACCCCCUGUCUCUGGAGAGAGAGCCCGCUGGGCUCCAACGGCCAGUCAGCCAGGGAGGAGACGAGAGGCGAGACUUUCAGUCUGCCCCCAAGAGCCCCCUCACUCAGGACUGCCCCUCGCAGGCCCAAGGGGACUGACGGCGGCAAUGGAGGCUGCGCCCGGGGAGGGAGGGAGAAGGGUACCAGGCCGCCACCGAAGGGGAUUUGUGGAAUUUCUGGACCCGCUUCUUCGCUGUAAAACGAAACUGUGAAUGCCAGAGGACAUUGUGAUGACAGCUUUAAAGUGCUGAAACAAAAAUCUCCAACUUAGAAUUCUGCAUUUCUCAAGAACAGCCUUCAAAAGAUGAAGAUGAAAGAUGUGUUCAGACGAACAAAAACUGAGGGAGUUCAUCAGCUGCGCACCAGCACUGUGAGAAGCACUAGGGGAGGCUCUUCAGACUGGAGGAAAAUUAUCCCAGCUAGAAGCACAGAACCACAGGAAGAAAUGAAGGUAUGAAGGCCUUCUUGAAGAUCCUCUGUAGGGGAGGUCUUGUGGCUACAAACUCCCUUAGCUUUGGCUUAUCUGGGAAAGUUGUUAUUUCUCCAUCAUAUCUGAAGUCUAUUUUCACUGAAUAGAGUAUUCUUGGCUGAAAGAUUUUGUCCUUCAAAGAUUUGAAUAUGUCAUUCCAGUCUUUCCUAGCCUGUAAGUUUUCUGCAGAGAAAUCUGGUGAAAGUCUGAUAGAGGUUUCUUUGUAGGUUAUGUUCUUCUGCCUUGCUGCCCUUAGUAUUUUUUCUUUGUCAUUGACUUUUGCCAGUUUCACUACUAUAUGCCUUGCAGUAGGUCUUUUUACACUGGCAUAUUUAGAAGAUCUGAUAGGCUCUUUCAUGUGGAUUUCCAUCUCCUUCCCCAGGUUUGGGAAGUUCUCUGCUAUUAUUACUUUGAACAAGCUUUCUGUUCCAUUCUCCUUCUUUUCUCUCUCUUGAAUAUCUAUAAUUCUUAUGUUGCAUUUCCUAAUUGAGUUGGAUAUUUCUCAGAGAUUUUCUUCAUUUCUUUUUAGUCUUAGUUCUCUCUACUCCUCUGUCUGGAGCAUUUCAAUAUGUCUAUCCUUGAUUAUGCUGAUUCACUCCACUAUGAUGUUGCUCAAACAUUCAGAGAAUCCAAAUUUUGUUUUAUCUCAUCGAUUGUGUCUUUCAUCUCUAAUAUUUCUGAUUGGUUCUUCUUUAUAGUUUCAAUCUCUUUUGUGAAGUAGCUCCUGAACUCGUUGAAUUGUUUCUCUACAUUUUUUUGUAACUCAUUGAGUUUUUUGAUGAUAGCUAUUUUGAAGUCUCUGUCAUUUAGAUUACAUAUUUCUGUGUCUUCAGGACUGAUUUCUGGGUACUUGUCAUUUUCUCUCUGGUCUGGAGAUGUAAUAUAAUUUUUGAUUCUGCUAGAGGGCGUGGCAUUGUUCUUUCACAUCAUGGUAUUAUUUGGUCACACUUACUGCUUACCACUGGGUGGGGGUCAAGAACUGCAUUUUCUGAGCCCUCUGACUUCUGCCAGGAUCCCAGGUGCUGGAGCUGGUGCUAGGUGGGGAGGGGGAGGGGUGCUUUCUUCAUUGUUCUCUUGGGGUUUUCUCACUCUGCCCUCGAUAUCUGCUCUCCUGGGGUAUUGGCUUGAUGAAGUCACCCCUGUGAUAGCUUUCACCUGGGUAGGGAGCUUUCCCCUAGGCUGCAAAGGACCUUGGGGAACUUUGAUGUUCCUGCAAAUGGGCAUCCCCUCCCCUUUUCCUUCCCUCUUGGAGACUGCACAGUCCCAGAUCACAGUCUUUUGGGGAGGGAGCGAAGUUUUCUCUUACCCCAUUCCACCUCCUCCAAGGGGGACUCCAGCCUCUCCACCCUCCCAUGUAUGAUUGUGUUGGUCUUUUGUGUUGUGUGGAUGUCCUCUGCUGGAGGAUAAAUGUCUUUUUCACUGUGUCAUGGAGGGAAGAGAUCACUGGGAGAGCUCACUUAACCAUGAUGCUGAUGUCACUCUCUGGGUAAAAUUUUUAAAGUAAUGUUCUGUAAAGUCUGUAACACAUAUAGAAGUAACUGUGUAUGAAUACAACCCAAAAAAUCUAAUGGUACUGCCUAAAUAUUUUUCAUUUGUCUUAUUAAUAAAUGUUAAUACAAAUUUGGGAAGAUUUUAUUAUUUCAAAUAACUGAAAGUAUUUAAUAAUGUUAAUUUCAUAUUUUCUUCAUUGUUG
rnacentral:lncRNA from 1 species